CGUUCAACCCCAGUGACCAGCAUCUGACUAAAUGUGGUCCCACAUUUCUUUCUCAGGCCACAAUUAAGAUGGAGGAGUAUAGUGAUCUUUUGAAGAGCACAGAGGCUUGGAUAGAAAAUACCAGUUGUUUGCUGGCCAAUCCUGCUCGCUAUGACUCUUCAAGAACCCUGAGUCACCAUGCCAGCACCCUGCAGAGGGCUUUGGAAGAUUCUGAGCAGAAGCACAAUCUUUUACAUUCAGUUUUCACAGAUCUAGAGGAUUUGUCAGACAUUUUCGAAACAGAUGACUUAGUACAGUCCGUACAAGACCUAAGCAGUCAAGUAGUAGAUCUCCAGCAACAAAUAAUGGAAAGCCUUCCCCACAUUCAGCGGAUGGCAGAUGAUGUGGUUGCUAUUGAAUCCGAAGUAAAAUCUAUGGAGAAAAAAGUUUCAAAAAUCAGAACUAUCCUGUUAUCAAAAGAAAUAUUUGAUUUUUCACCUGAAGAACAUCUUAAGCAUGGAGAGGUCAUACUUGAAAAUAUACGCCCCAUGAAGAAAACCAUUGCUGAGAUAGUGUCUUACCAAGUGGAACUGAGGCUACCCCAGGCAGGAACAAAACCUCUGCCUGUGUUUCAGCGGACAAAUCAGCUUUUGCAAGCUGUAAAACUAUUGGAAAACGUGACUCAGGAACAAAAUGAGUUAUUAAAGGUAGUCAUAAGACAGACUAAUGAAUGCAAUGAAGAAAUAGAAAAUUUGAAACGAAUCUUAAAUAAUUAUUCAACGGAGUUCUCCCUUGAACAUAUGUCACCAGACCAAGCUGUUGACUUUCCAGAAGUACAGGAAGACAUCAAAAGUAUGGAACAGCAGAUUCUGCAUUUAAACCAGAAAAAAGAAGACCUAUUGGUGGACUUGAAGGCUGCCGUACUAAACCUUCACCAGCAUUUGAAGCAAGAACAGCAAGAAGGAGACGUGCUGUCAGCCAGAGCAUUGGAGGACGGUGGAGCGGCUGAGCUGGAUGUGUCUGAGUGGAAGGUAGGAACCCGUUUACGUGAAUACUGGUCCCACAUUCCACAAGAGUGUUAAAUGGGUAAUAUUUUUCACCUGAACAACUUGUUGUACC
rnacentral:lncRNA from 1 species